GUUACCUCUUGCUAUAGUUUGGAUGUUGAGUAUCUUUCAAAACCCGUGUGUUAAAAGCUUGGUCCCCACCUUGCAGCUGUGGGGAUGUGGUGGAGCCUGUGAGGGGUGGGGCCUAGUGGGUGGUCUUCAUGCCCUCCAGGGGAAUAGCAAGAUCCCUGGCUCUCCUUCCUCUGUCUUUCAUUCCCACCCAUGAGGUGAAUGAGAUUUUGCUUCACCAUGUACUUCCUGAGGUGACCGGCUGUCAUGGGCCAAAAGCAACGGAGCCAACUGACUGUGGACUAAAGCUUCCAAAGUGCCACUCGGGCCGUGACACCUGAGAAGGAGGCUGUCAGCCUCCAGACCCAGCUGAGCCUCAGCCAACUGCUUCUUACACCUUGGCGAUGGGAGACACCCUCAGGACAACCGGUCCCAGGAACAAGGGUGAUGCAGAAUCAUUGAGAGAGGAAGACGAAGGGUGCAUACCUGGCUGUACCCUCCACCGGCUGAUCCUCAAUCAAGAGGAGCCACAGAUGGGACCCUUGAAGCCUUUGUCAAAAGUGCCACUUACUUGUGAAUUCAGCGUCAUGACUGAAAGGAAGCACAGAGAUCAGCAGACACAUCUCUUUUCUUCUCAGGAAGCAACUGUUUGAUCAGUGUAAAGAGCCAACUGGGGCCACAGCAGGACCCACGUUAAGGUUCCUAUCCCACAUAUUGCUAAUGUGCAGUCACUGGGGUGGGACAAAGGGGCCUGCCCUUGGGUUGGGUGGCUCUUAGAAGAAACAGAGCAGGGUGGGGGAGCCAAUCCUGGCCGUCGGGAGGGCCAGCACCUGCUCUCCUGGGGAACCAGCCUCAGGUGAUAACACUCUGCAGAUAUGUGUUAUCCCCACCCAAAUCUUCCCUGGCCAUAUGUUUUCCAGGGACCUCGGGACAGGAGCCAAGUGUGCCCUGGGUAGAAUGGGCUCUUUCAGGGAUGUGAGGUUGCUCCUGUCUGUGUGGAGGGGUUAUGAGGGGCUGGGAAGCCAUGGCCAGCUGGAGGGCAGGUGGAGGUGCGCACCUACCUGCAGGAGGUAGGCGGGAACAUGUAGCUGUACUGUGCAUGACUGUACCACCCUGGUCAACACUAUCUUGCCCUUGGCACUCCAUAUUGUAAGUGGGAACAUGAUGCAGCACCAGGAGAAUCUAACAUACCUCAGAGGAGACAUGGGGGCCCCAGAGACUAAGCCAGGCUUCUGUGCAACCUCAGGCUCCCAUGUGUGCUCGUUCAGAGCCACCCAGCUGGCCAUGGCCAUGGAGCAGAGGUAGGCUGUGGGGUGCAGCAGACCAAGGAGAGGCCACGCUGUGUGCAUCCGGGAGGAGGUCCUAAUGAAUUAGGCAAGAGGCAGUGGCCAUCAGCAGGUGAGUGGUGGGGAUGCACUGAGGGAGGUGGAUACUGCCUGGGACUUCACUCCAAGGGCUACCAAGGGCCAUGGGAGGGGGUGCUGGGGAUGGCAUGGGUUUUGAGUUUCGUGUCCUUAAUGAAGUAAGAUAAAAGAGGGAGGAGGUACAGUUUGGAUGGGGGAGAUAAUGAACUGGGCUUUAGAACCAGCUGGGAUGGGAAUAAUUAAUCCACCCUAAGAGGGGAGGUGCGCUUUGGGACUGGGCCCCUACACUGCUUCCUAGGAAUGCUCCUGCCAUCAGCUUAUGCAAAUCUAAGUGUGCAGGAGCCCUGAUUGGGGUGCUAAGGAAUUGUCCAGCCAUCAACCCUCAUCUUCUCUGCAACAUCCUCCCUCUGAGCUGCUGCCACCAGUGAAAUUCCUCAGCCAAUGUAGGAGUUUUAAACAUCAUCAGGACCAGAAUCAAAGGGCAUUUCUGUAGGAAAAAGUGCACAGGCCAGGACCAAUUCAGCCUGUACCAGCAGUGAGAUGAGCAGGCUGCUCACAGUGGGCUGCCAGAGGCUGUGGCACCUGGGCAGAGGGUGGAGACAUAGCCCCCAUUCCAAGCACAUGCUGGGCUCUGACCUCGGCUACACACGGGGCCCCCAUCCCAAAUCCGUGUCACAGACUGACAGGACUGAGUCUGUGACUCUAAUCACAGACUGAGGCCUCAUCCUAAGCAAAUACUGAGCCCUGACCAUGGCCACACAUGGACCUGACCUUGGACACAGUGAGCUAUGAUCUUCAUGGGCUGAACCCUGGUCCUACUCAUGGUUAGAGACUGAGACUUCAACCCUAGCCACACAGUGAGCCUAGAUAAUGGCUCCAGACUGAGCUCAGCCCCUUGAUCAUGCCCUGCCCAGACCCUAGUCACAUGAGAACAUUGCUGUGGAUGCCCCAGGCCCUCCUGGUUUGGACAUUCUGUGAUCCUCUGAUUUUGUGUCUUGGGAUCCUUGUGACUGUGUUGCCCACUAUGGGCUAGAUGGACAAAUUGGAGUGUCCUCAUUCGUGGGAGCCAUCAUGUCAUUUUGUGUUCUGCUGUUUGCUCCUGUUCCCUUCCAGGUGGACUAUGAACCUGGGGGAGGCUUCACUUCCAGCCAGCUGCCAAGGUCUCAGUUCCCUCUUUACCCUUACACCAGGGUUUAUGAGCAAUGGUGACUUCUCCCUGCUCUAGGGGCUAGACAGCUGAGAUCAAAGUUGGCAGGUGUGGUGUCUGCUCGAGUGAUUGAUUUCCCAGCUCACAGAUGGUGCUUCUUGCAGUGUCCUCAUGGCGGGGAGCACAGGGCCCUGGGACCUCUUUUACAAGGGUUUUCAUUCCAUUAUGAGGACCCCACCCUUGUGGCCUCCUCACCUCCCGAGGACCCCACCUCUUAACAACGUCACCUUGGGGACCGGCUUUCAGCACAAGAAUCUUAAAGGUCACACACAUCCAGACUAGCACCAGGAGACCCUGGGUACCGCCAAGGGCAUGUUCAACAGAUGUGGAAUGUAUGAACUGGUAAAAUCCAAAUCCUCAUUAUUUGAGGAAAGAGGAAGUUUUGUUUUAUGAGAGGAAGUGAAGAGUCUCUUAGAACAUCCAGAAAUGAGGUGGGGUCAGAGUGAGGAGCUUGUACCAUUGCUGAGAAACUUCCUAAUAAAGGCACCAAUCCCACAGUUAGUGGACCUAGACUGGGUAUGUUUGUGUGGUGUGUGUGUGUGUGUGUGUGUGUGUAUGUGCCUGGUGUGUGGAUCUGGUAUGUGUGACGGGUGUGAUGGUUGCCUGCGAUGGGUGUGUGUGUUUGUCUGGCAUGUGUGUAUGUGGUAGCUACUGGAAUUCCAAUAGCAAAGUCCAACAGGACAGGGAAAGAGCCCAGGGUGUCAGGAGGGAGGGGACACUCUGCCCCCUGAGCUAGAAGCUUGAGGUGAUGCUGCUCAGUCACCCUUGCCUGGGCCCCUGUUGCCAUCCACUGAGGCACCUUGGAGGGUUGCAAGGCACCGAGGGUCUCCAGCUCCAUGAGGGAACAGGAGGUCCGUGACUGAGGGCACCAAUGGCCCAUUACUGUGCUGGGCAGCUGUGCACCAACCCCUCCUUGCAAGGACCAGGAGCAGCAUGGGCCAUGGCACAGGGGUCAUUGCUUUGCUCCUGGUGCUGUGUAUUUUUCUUUGACAGGAAACAAGCAAACAUCCUGGUACAAGACUGAAAAGUGUCAAUAAAAUCAGCAAGUACUCAUCACUCAGCUCUGCACUGAGCUCCUGCUCUGGGGUGGUCCCACCCACUGUGUACAGUGCUGAGUUUGAGAGGCAGAGGGGAGGGGGACCAGCCUGCAGCCUGGGCAGACCCAGUUGUGCCAUCUGGGCUCUGUUCAUUUUGAUCGCUUUUCAGGCAGAUCUGCAGCCACAACCCUCAGACAUGAUGCACACAUGUCCUUGUACUUUCUUGCUGCUGGGAAGCUGCAGAUACACUGCUGCCUGCAGCGCUCUGUCCCCUGUAAGUUGCUUUCAUUCUGCAUGGAUGGCCAUGGCAUGUUUGCCCUGGUCCCCAUCCGACAUGACACUGUAUCAAAGGUCUCGUUAUCAUGCUCUGGGUGACAGACAACUUGUCGGGAUUGUUUCUUGCUAUUCCUGAUACCACUUGGGAACAGACAGAAGUGAUGCAGCACGGGAUGCUGGGGCUCAGGUUUUUGAGGUUACAGCAUCACUUAAGGCUCAGCAGAGGAGCAGAGCCAGGAGGGGAAUUGGAGGAGGAACACAGGGGACCCGGGACGUUUGUGUGUGUGUGUGCGUGCACGCUUGCAGGGGAGAGAGUGAGGGAUGACCCAAGGGUAGGCACUGGCUGGACAUUUCAGGUGGCUUCAGCUUCGGUCCUGGCCCUUUUUCUCUGGCAGACUUUGUUUUUACUCUGAAGGCCAUUGGCUGAUUAAACAAGGCUCACUCAUAGUGGGAAAGGCAGCAUUCCCCAGUCGUCUGCAGCAGGGGUGAGUGCCAUCUCUAAUGACCUUCACAGCAGCGUUCAGACGGGUAUGUGCCGAACACACCAAGUACCUUCAAAACCCCACUGCAGUCCCUUUGAGAAUGUCCAUGCCCAUCCACACACCUGCUCCUCUCUCCACACUCAUAUACUGGUACUCAGUGCUACAGUUUUGCUACCUCAGUGGUGGCCUCAGGGGCUCAUCUAAAAGUGUGUUCGUAGAAUUAGUAGAGAAUUGAAACUUCUCUUUGUAUAUGUCCAGGUCAUAUAGAAAUACGCAGCGCUCAGUGAGAUCAGGCCUCUGGGGUUCCUGGGCUUGAGAGGAGGGAAAAAGGAUACAGAAGGAUGAUACCCUGACUCCAGAUGUGGCCUGGUCAUCAUGGUUCUGGGAGCAGUGGCCUAACUCUGGGAGAGGUGUCAGUUGCAUGAGGGUAGGUGAGAGCCAGUUGAGCUAGAUAGGAGGCCCAGACUGAGGUUGGCCAGCUCUGAGGCCUAGGGAAGUGCUCACCUUGGUCUUUGCUGAUCGUAUCCUAGGACCUUGAGGAGUACUUGGCAGGUAGCAGGCAUUCCUUUGUCCCUGACCAGCGCUGGUUGCUGGUGUGUGUGUCCUGGGUGGCAGGUUGUGGAGUUUGAGUUUGGGGGACCUGUGGGAAUUAGAGCCGCUCUAAUAUCCUGGUGAGGAAAGCUGGCUUUGGGGAGGGCUGGGUUACCAUGAUGUAGGAGGUUCGGCCCACAGUUGACCAAGCUGCUCUGGGUGGGAGGAUGGGUCCAGUUGAAGUUUUGUAGCCUUUGUAGCCCACCCUUCUUUUCUUGCCCUGGGCUCUGCAGCAGGAAAUUCUUUCCCCUUUCUGAGGUGAAGAAUGAAGUGUGGGUGACCAAAGUGUGUCAGGGUAGCCUGGACCAGUAAGCCUCUAUGCAUUCAUUCCCUCUGGAAAGACCUCAGCCUGUCUAUCAUCCCUGUGAGGGAAAGGAAUGAGUUGGGUAUAGAGGAGAGGAAGAAGCCAGGAUUUCUUCCACCUUCUCGGAACCCAGCCUCUGCCCCACACUCCCACUGUGAGGGCCAGGGCUUCCGAAAGAGCCUAGGGCUCUGGGUUGGAUGGGGACAGGCAAGUCCUCAUUUAGCCAGCCUCAGUGUACCCAUCUGCAAAGUUGGGAGAUGAGCAGAACAGCAAUUUUCAAGUUCUCAAAACAGUUCAAACUUUUCCUCAAAGGGUGGCAAAGAGAAACUGGGUAAGCAGCUGGCCCUGCUGAGGAGGUGGGUGUGCAGGAAGCCUGGUUCUGACACCUUUGAGAACCAUUGGCCAGGUCUCACCCAGGCUCUAAGCUCAGCUGUGUUGGUGAAUAAGGGAGAUGGUGCCAGGCCAGGGGGACUGGUGUGGGCACCAUUAUGGUCACUGACUGCCAUGGCCAAGCCAUAGCUGGCACACUGUUGAGUCCUGGGCCCAAACUUGUAACAUAGGAAAAGUGAAACACAACUCCCAGGGUCCUCAGAGUGCCCAAUUAAAGACAGUACCAUUCCUAGUCUUUCCCUGCUCCUCCUCCCCCAUCCUUCCCCUCAUUCCUCUCCUUUCUUCAAACCUUCUUCUCCUCUUCCCCUCCUGCCCCUUCUUCUCUUCUUCCGUCUUUUCUUCCUCCCCAUUUCAUACUCUUCUUAUUUUUGCUCUUAUUAUUAAUAGAUAGUUUGGGAAUAUGUCAGUCAACAAAUGCAUGAAAGUUGGCAUAAGAUGUAAAUGAAAGAUAAUUUUCUAGGAAACAUGGUCUUUUGAUCCUUGUCAAAGAAACUGGCAGGGAAGUACUGGGUGACCUGUCUGUCACAAUUUCAGCCCUCCCUGGGUUUAUAUGGGGCUGAAGAGGAGACCAUGGUUAGUCCAGGCUCCCUGCCUUCAUCUUCCAUCCCCUGUCUAGUCCCAUCUGCCCAACCACCGAUCUUCCAGCUCAACAGUUCUUCAUGGCUCCCCAGUGCAGUGCUAAGAAAAUGGUCUCGAAAAAGAGAUGCCAACUCCCCAUGAUGAUUGUUAUAGUUGAGAUCUAAAAAGUCCUACAAAAGUCUCAUGUGCUCAGAGUGGGGCUUUUGAGAGGUGAUUGGAUUGGGAAGAUACUUAAUCCUUAAUCCACUCAUGAGUUCAUAGCUGAAUGAACUAGAGGUGGGGUUUGGUUGGAUGAUAUGAAUCAUUGGGGGCGUGUCCUGGAAGGGGGUGGGGUCUCUCCCUCCCUGGCUCCUCUCUUCUCUCUCUGCUUCCUAGAAGUCAUGGAUUGAACAGCUUUUCUCCACCAGACCCUUCCAUCAUGCUGUUUCUGCCUCGGAGCUCCCCAACCAUGGACUGAAUCCUCUGAA
ensembl:lncRNA